AAGUCGUAACAAGGUUUCCGUAGGUGAACCUGCGGAAGGAUCAUUAACAAAUUCUUCAACACUGACGUCCCAUCCAGUGUGUGUCUGUGUCUGUGUGUCUGUGGUUGAGUGUGUUUGGUCAGGUGAUCUCAUCAUGUCAAGUGAAAAGGAUCUCCUGAACAAGCACACACGCAAGCACACACAUAAACACAACACGCGCACACACAUUGGAUGGUGUACUCACUCACACACAUCUUGAUGGACAACACCUAGUGAUUCAUAUUACAAAAUGUAUAGACAACUUUUAACAAUGGAUCUCUUGGCUCUU
rnacentral:misc_RNA from 1 species